GGUCUAUUAAUUUAGUUGGUUAGAGCAUCAUGCUAAUAAUAUGAAAGUCACAUAUUCAAUUCCUGUAUGGAUCA
rfam:Glycine soja cultivar W05 scaffold1507_44, whole genome shotgun sequence.